ACACAUACACUUGCUUGCUCUCUCUCUCUCUCUCUGUGCAAAUAUCUGCUUUGUCAUUUCCAUUGCUGUUCAAAGUUUCAGAGUUGAUCACCAUUUUAAUCAGCAAAAAUGCAUGCAAAUCACUUGCUUCUCGAAGAGCCUAUCAGGAUGGCUUCAAUCCUCGAGCCAUCUAGAUCCAGUUUCUUCCCUGCAAUGACCAAGAUCGUCGGGACUUUGGGUCCUCGCUCUCGAUCCGUAGAGGUCAUCUCUGCUUGUCUACAAGCUGGAAUGUCAGUGGGUCGAUUCGACUUUUCGUGGGGGACGCUGAGUAUCACCAAGAGACUUUGGAAAAUUUGAGGACUGCUGUGAAGUCUACUAAGAAGCUUUGUGCUGUUAUGCUAGAUACGUGGGGCCUGAGCUGCAUGUUAUCAUAAACGCUGAGAAAACUAUUUCACUUCAGGAGGAUGGUAUAGUUGUUCUAACACCCGAUCAAGGUCAGGAAGCUUCUUCUGACGUGUUGCCGAUCAACUUUUCUGGACUGGCAAAGGCAGUGAAGAAGGAGACA